ensembl:lncRNA
GGGGAUAGGCUUAAUGUUACUGUCUAGUUACAAGAAGGGGACAGGCUUAAUGUUACUGUCUAGUUACAAGAAGGGGACAGGCUUAAUGUCACUCUGAAAGUAGAGAAUAGGAGAAGGAGUAAGGGCCUGUGAUUGACUGACAUGAGUUUACCAGAGCUGAGAAUCAUUAUCUUAAAUGUUCAACUGUUUGAGCUUUGGUUCUUCUUAUAAAACACUGGCUCAAAUGAAAAGUUGUGGUCCUUAUUUAUUUAAGUCCAGGUCAAGCCCUGAAAAUGGAGGAAAGGAAGAAGUGAGUGGGUGUGGAUGAUUCUGGGAGGAUAAGAGGAGAUGAUUAAAUGUUAUUGCAGCCAGCAGUGCUGUUUACCUCCCCCACCGUUUUCUCUCCCGGUCUCCCCCUUUCUCCCCCUCCUGCGCUACCAAUCUAGCAUCAGUAAGCUUGGUGUCAUCACUUUGCUCCCAGAAAGGCUGUCAUCGCGGGAAAAGAAGGAGGAGGCACGCAUGUGUGUCAGAUUGAGCGUGUGCGUGCGUAUUUGUGUGUAUCUGUGUGUUUGCAAGCAUGAGUGUGUGUGAACUGGGAAGGCAGGGAUUAUUUCUGACACAGGGAAGCUUAUGAUGACAUGGCAACAGAACUACAGCUGUACUGCAGAAACCCCAGAGCAGCCAGAGAUUCAGCCAAAUUCACAAAUAUACAGAUCUUUUCCUGAUGAACACACAGAAGAAACAGAUUUCCAUCGAAAUUGCAGGGGAUUUUCAGUCAAGCAACAUGUCAGUAAAACUUGAACACAGACCUCUCAGUACGACUACCACAAACGACAUGUUGACCAUCACAAAAGGAAGACGGCAAGUUGUCCGCAAACGCAAAACAACCUUUCUAUUUUCAUUGUGUCCACAAAUCAACACAGAGAACAGGCUGGGGUGGAAUGGAUGGAAGGAAAGAGAAUGUGAGGGGAGGGCGAGAUAGAAAGACAAAGCCAAGAAAGGGAGAGAGAAAGACAACAUUCGGGUCUAGGGACAUAGGGGUUAAACAGAUCUCUCUCUACUUUGGGCAUCCCGUCAGGCCACACCCCUUGCAGUGGCUUGGCAUGACCCUGAUGCCAUGGCAACCUGAGAGGGUGUGUGUAUGUGGAUUGUUAUGCUGGUCAGAAUAGAAAAUCCUCAAAAUUGUAGUAAUCCAUUACAAAUGGGGCGAAGAGAGCGUCACUACAGCAUUGGGCCCAGUCCUCUGUACCCCCCCCCAAAAGAAACAGGUGUCCGGCAAAACCAUCGCAGAUCUGUGGUACUCAACUUGGCCUAGUCCCGUCUCCACUUUAAACCAUCUCCUUCGGCUGCAGAGCCAACAGGUCUGUGGAUGACAUUGUUAUGGGUCUCCGAUAGAUCCUCCAAAAUCUCCACCACCCAAAGAUAUACCCAAGGAUACAUACUGUGGACUUCAGCUCGGUACCUAACACCUUUGUCGCAGAACUACUGCUAGACAAAACCCUCCCAUCUGAACGUGUCCAGCUCCAUCUGUCAAUGGAUCUCUGGUUUCCUGACCACCACAUAAAAACGGGUAACAGAACCCUGGAAGGAUUCCUG